GAUGAACGCUGGCGGCGUGCCUAAUACAUGCAAGUCGAGCGAACGGACGAGAAGCUUGCUUUUCUGAUGUUAGCGGCGGACGGGUGAGUAACACGUGGAUAACCUACCUAUAAGACUGGGAUAACUUCGGGAAACCGGAGCUAAUACCGGAUAAUAUUUUGAACCGCAUGGUUCAAAAGUGAAAGACGGUCUUGCUGUCACUUAUAGAUGGAUCCGCGCUGCAUUAGCUAGUUGGUAAGGUAACGGCUUACCAAGGCAACGAUGCAUAGCCGACCUGAGAGGGUGAUCGGCCACACUGGAACUGAGACACGGUCCAGACUCCUACGGGAGGCAGCAGUAGGAAAUCUUCCGCAACGGGCGAAAGCCUGACGGAGCAACGCCGCGUGAGUGAUGAAGGUCUUCGGAUCGUAAAACUCUGUUAUUAGGGAAGAACAUACGUGUAAGUAACUGUGCACAUCUUGACGGUACCUAAUCAGAAAGCCACGGCUAACUACGUG
rnacentral:rRNA from 1 species